rnacentral:rRNA from 1 species
GACGAACGCUGGCGGUGUGCUUAACACAUGCAAGUCGAACGGAAAGGCCCUGCUUUUGUGGGGUGCUCGAGUGGCGAACGGGUGAGUAACACGUGAGUAACCUGCCCUUGACUUUGGGAUAACUUCAGGAAACUGGGGCUAAUACCGGAUAGGAGCUCCUGCUGCAUGGUGGGGGUUGGAAAGUUUCGGCGGUUGGGGAUGGACUCGCGGCUUAUCAGCUUGUUGGUGGGGUAGUGGCUUACCAAGGCUUUGACGGGUAGCCGGCCUGAGAGGGUGACCGGCCACAUUGGGACUGAGAUACGGCCCAGACUCCUACGGGAGGCAGCAGUGGGGAAUAUUGCACAAUGGGCGGAAGCCUGAUGCAGCAACGCCGCGUGCGGGAUGACGGCCUUCGGGUUGUAAACCGCUUCCGCCUGUGACGAAGCGUGAGUGACGGUAAUGGGUAAAGAAGCACCGGCUAACUACGUG